rnacentral:misc_RNA from 1 species
ACCAAUCAUGGAAUUGAAUUUACUUCUACCGAUCUCUUCAAUGGUUAUCUCUACAACUGGAAGUUCAGAGAUGGAUUCAGCAGAAUCAAGUGCAUUCUCAACAAGUUCUCUCACAGUAGUGUAAAGACAUUUCCCAGGAUUGUCAAAACCCGCAAUGUUCUUGUUAUCUGCAAAGAACUCAGCGGGAGACUUCUGUUUGAGAAUGCUAUCUUUAGGUUUUCGAGGGGUUUUUGAUUUGCCCUUCUUCGCUACUUCUGG